GGGGCUGAUUCUGGAUUCGACGGGAUUUGCGAAGCCCUAGGAGCAUGCCGAGGGGCGGUUGGCCUCGUAAAAAGCCGCAAAAAAAUAGUCGCAAACGACGAAAACUACGCACUAGCAGCUUAGUAACCUGCUCAGAGCCCUUUCUCCCUAGCCUCCGCUCU
rnacentral:tmRNA from 1 species